AUUGAACGCUGGCGGCAUGCUUUACACAUGCAAGUCGAAUGGCAGCGCGGGCUUCGGCCUGGCGGCGAGUGGCGAACGGGUGAGUAAUACAUCGGAACGUGCCCAGUAGUGGGGGAUAGCUCGGCGAAAGCCGGAUUAAUACCGCAUACGACCUGAGGGUGAAAGCGGGGGAUCUUCGGACCUCGCGCUAUUGGAGCGGCCGAUGGCAGAUUAGCUAGUUGGUGGGGUAAAGGCCUACCAAGGCGACGAUCUGUAGCUGGUCUGAGAGGACGACCAGCCACACUGGGACUGAGCCACGGCCCAGACUCCUACGGGAGGCAGCAGUGGGGAAUGUUGGACAAUGGGCGAAAGCCUGAUCCAGCAAUGCCGCGUGUGUGAUGAAGGCCUUCGGGUUGUAAAGCACUUUUGGCGGGAACGAAAAGGACUGUGCCAAUACCACGGUUCGAUGACGGUACCCGCAGAAUAAGCACCGGCUAACUACGUG
rnacentral:rRNA from 1 species